CUCAUCCCACUCUGAGGCGAAGGAAGGUGAUUUCUCCAGCCUCUUCUUCCCGAUGCUGCAGUUGGACAAGGACUCGCUGCGACUCCCCAUUGUGGCGUCCUCCGUGGGGGAGCAGGUCAGGAGGUCAGAGUCAGACUUAGACAAACUGCGGCUGAGUUUGAGCUCAGCUUUGGGCUUGCUGGUGGGAGGGGCUCUGCUUCUGGGCCCGCUCUGGUCUUCUUCCUCGGCACCAGCAGGGCGCAGAGGUACUGUGUGAGUCAAUGCAUCGAGGUAUGUUCUGCUAGCCAGGGCUGUCAGGACUUAAGUAUGUAAGGGAUUCUCCCCACGUCCUCUGUACGCUCCCUGGUAUCUCAAUUCCGUGUGAACAUAACCUUAGCCUGAAAAUGCAGAUGAAACGUGUAACUGAAAACUAAAAGUAAUGCUUUAGUGUUUUUGUUUGUUUUCUUCUAAGGCAUGGUCUCACUAUGUAGCCCUGGCUGUCCUGGAAUUCAUUCUGUAGACCAGGCUAGCCCUAGCCUUGAACUCACAGAGAUCUACCUGCCUCUGCUUCCUAAGUGCUAGGAUUACAGGUGUGUGUCAUGUCUAACCUUCUCCAUCUUUUGGGUUCAUCCUUUCUUCCUUUCUUCCUUCCUUUUUUUGUGUUUUGCACAUUAAAGAUUUAUUUAUUGUAUGUAUGUGAGUACACUGCAGCUGUCUUCAGACACACCAGAAGAGGGCAUUGGAUCCUAUUACAGAUGGUUGUGAGCCACCAUGUGGUUGCUGGGAUUUGAACUCAGGAC
rnacentral:lncRNA from 1 species